rnacentral:rRNA from 1 species
GACGAACGCUGGCGGCGUGCCUAAUACAUGCAAGUCGGACGCACAGUUUAUACCGUAGCUUGCUACACCAUAGACUGUGAGUUGCGAACGGGUGAGUAACGCAUAGGUAACCUGCCUGGUAGCGGGGGAUAACUAUUGGAAACGAUAGCUAAUACCGCAUAAUAUUGAUUAUUGCAUGAUAAUUGAUUGAAAGAUGCUAUUGCAUCACUACCAGAUGGACCUGCGUUGUAUUAGCUAGUAGGUGAGGUAACGGCUCACCUAGGCGACGAUACAUAGCCGACCUGGGAGGGGGAUCGGCCACACUGGGACUGGGACACGGCCCAGACUCCUGCGGGAGGCAGCAGUAGGGAAUCUUCGGCAAUGGACGAAAGUCUGACCGAGCAACGCCGCGUGAGUGAAGAAGGUUUUCGGAUCGUAAAGCUCUGUUGUAAGAGAAGAACGGGUGUGAGAGUGGAAAGUUCACACUGUGAUGGUAUCUUACCAGAAAGGGACGGCUAACUACGUG